UGGCGGACGGGUGAGUAAUGUCUGGGAAACUGCCCGAUGGAGGGGGAUAACUACUGGAAACGGUAGCUAAUACCGCAUAACGUCGCAAGACCAAAGAGGGGGACCUUCGGGCCUCUUGCCAUCGGAUGAACCCAUAUGGGAUUAGCUAGUAGGUAAGGUAACGGCUUACCUAGGCGACGAUCCCUAGCUGGUCUGAGAGGAUGACCAGCCACACUGGAACUGAGACACGGUCCAG
rnacentral:rRNA from 1 species